GAUGAACGCUGGCGGCGUGCCUAACACAUGCAAGUCGAGCGAACCCUUCGGGGUGAGCGGCGGACGGGUGAGUAACGCGUGGGUAACCUGCCCUGUACACACGGAUAACAUACCGAAAGGUAUGCUAAUACGAGAUAAUAUGUAAUGAUCGCAUGGUCGAUACAUCAAAGCUCCGGCGGUACAGGAUGGACCCGCGUCUGAUUAGCUAGUUGGUGAGGUAAUGGCUCACCAAGGCGACGAUCAGUAGCCGACCUGAGAGGGUGAUCGGCCACAUUGGAACUGAGACACGGUCCAAACUCCUACGGGAGGCAGCAGUGGGGAAUAUUGGGCAAUGGGCGAAAGCCUGACCCAGCGACGCCGCGUGAGGGAAGAAGGUCUUCGGAUUGUAAACCUCUGUUGACAGGGACGAAGCAUGACGGUACCUGUCGAGGAAGCCACGGCUAACUACGUG
rnacentral:rRNA from 1 species